UAAUAGUGUAUAUUAAAGUUGUUGCAGUUAAAAAGCUCGUAGUUGAAUGUUGGUGUCGAACGAGCGGUCAGCUUCGGCUGUACUGCUCUCUCGACUCCUUCCUUCUGUGGACUACGUCGCACUUUACUGUGUGGCGCUAGGACGCAGAUCGUUUACUGUGAAAAAAUUAGAGUGUUCAAAGCAGGCCGUACGCUUGAAUACAUUAGCAUGGAAUAAUGGAAUAGGACGUCGGGCCUAUUUUGUUGGUUCUAGGACCGUCGUAAUGAUUAAUAGGGACAGUUGGGGCCGUUUAUAUUCCGUAGUCAGAGGUGAAAUUCUUGGAUUUACGGAAGAUAAACUACUGCGAAAGCAUUCGGCAAGGAUGUUUNCGUUAA
rnacentral:rRNA from 1 species